rnacentral:rRNA from 1 species
AGGAUGAACGCUAGCGGCAGGCCUAACACAUGCAAGUCGAGGGGCAGCACGAUUGAGCUUGCUUAAUUGGUGGCGACCGGCGCACGGGUGCGUAACGCGUAUGCAACCUACCCUGUACUGAGGGAUAGCCCGGAGAAAUUCGGAUUAAGACCUCAUAGUAUCCCGACGUGGCAUCACGAUGGGAUUAAAGGUUACGGUACAGGAUGGGCAUGCGUCCCAUUAGCUAGAUGGUAAGGUAACGGCUUACCAUGGCAACGAUGGGUAGGGGGCCUGAGAGGGGUNAGUCCCCAAGACGUGG